AUACAUUUUACACAAAAGACAAAAAACCUGUUCUUAUCAGUUUAAUAUCUGAUAAAUCCCCUAUCCGGGGACCAUAUAUUAAAUAGAUUUUUGGAAUAGAGAGAUGGAAUAGGGGCUUGCUCCGUCCACUCCACGCAUCGACCUGGUAUUGCAGGAAGAACUCCAGGAAGGAACGGUGCACCACCU